UACGUAGGGUGCGAGCGUUGUCCGGAAUUAUUGGGCGUAAAGGGCUCGUAGGCGGUCUGUUGCGUCGGGAGUGAAAACUCAGGGCUUAACCCUGAGCCUGCUUCCGAUACGGGCAGACUAGAGGUAUGCAGGGGAGAACGGAAUUCCUGGUGUAGCGGUGAAAUGCGCAGAUAUCAGGAGGAACACCGGUGGCGAAGGCGGUUCUCUGGGCACUACCUGACGCUGAGGAGCGAAAGUGUGGGGAGCGAACAGG
rnacentral:rRNA from 1 species